rnacentral:tRNA from 1 species
GCCCGGGGGGCUCAGUUGGUUAAAGCACCUGACUUUGGCUCAGGUCAUGGUCUCGUGGUUCGUGGGUUGGAGCCACACACUGGGCU